GGGCCCGCACAAGCAGUGGAUUAUGUGGUUUAAUUCGAAGCAACGCGAAGAACCUUACCAGGUCUUGACAUCUCCUGAAUAACCUGGAGACAGGCGAAGCCCUUCGGGGCAGGAAGACAGGUGGUGCAUGGUUGUCGUCAGCUCGUGUCGUGAGAUGUUGGGUUAAGUCCCGCAACGAGCGCAACCCUUACUAUUAGUUGCUACGCAAGAGCACUCUAAUGGGACUGCCGUUGACAAAACGGAGGAAGGUGGGGAUGACGUCAAAUCAUCAUGCCCUUUAUGACCUGGGCUACACACGUAAUACAAUGGCGCUUAACAGAGGGAAGCAAGACCGCGAGGUGGAGCGAAACCCCAAAAAGCGUCUCAGUUCGGAUCGCAGGCUGCAACUCGCCUGCGUGAAGUCGGAAUUGCUAGUAAUCGCGGAUCAGCAUGCCG
rnacentral:rRNA from 1 species